UACGUAGGGUGCAAGCAUUAAUCGGAAUUAUUGGGCGUAAAGGGCGCGUAGGCGGAUGGAUAAGUCAGAUGUGAAAUACCAAAGCUCAACUUUGGUGCUGCAUUUGAAACUCUCUAUCUAUGAGGAUUGACGGAGAAAGCGGAAUUCCACGUGUAGCGGUGAAAUGCGUAGAUACGUGGAGGAACACCGGUGGCGAAAGCGGCUUUCUAGUUUAUACCUGACGCUGAGGCGCGAGAGCAAGGGGAGCAAACAGG
rnacentral:rRNA from 1 species